rnacentral:rRNA from 1 species
UAGGGAAUCUUCGGCAAUGGGGGGAACCCUGACCGAGCAACGCCGCGUGAGUGAAGAAGGUUUUCGGAUCGUAAAGCUCUGUUGUUAAGGAAGAACGAGUGUGAGAAUGGAAAGUUCAUGCUGUGACGGUACUUAACCAGAAAGGGACGGCUAACUACGUGCCAGCAGCCGCGGUAAUACGUAGGUCCCGAGCGUUGUCCGUAUUUAUUGGGCGUAAAGCGAGCGCAGGCGGUUAGAAAAGUCUGAAGUGAAAGGCAGUGGCUCAACCAUUGUAGGCUUUGGAAACUGUUUAACUUGAGUGCAGAAGGGGAGAGUGGAAUUCCAUGUGUAGCGGUGAAAUGCGUAGAUAUAUGGAGGAACACCGGUGGCGAAAGCGGCUCUCUGGUCUGUAACUGACGCUGAGGCUCGAAAGCGUGGGGAGCGAACAGG